rnacentral:rRNA from 1 species
CAGCCGCCGCGGUAAUACCGGUGGCUCGAGUGGUGGCCGCUUUUAUUGGGCUUAAAGCGUUCGUAGCUGGGUUGUUAAGUCUCUUGGGAAAUCUGGCGGCUUAACCGUCAGGCGUCUAAGGGAUACUGGCAAUCUUAGAACCGGGAGAGGUGAGGGGUACUUCGGGGGUAGGAGUGAAAUCCUGUAAUCCUAGAGGGACCACCUGUGGCGAAGGCGCCUCACCAGAACGGCUUCGACAGUGAGGGACGAAAGCUGGGGGAGCAAACCGGAUUAGAUACCCGGGUAGUCCCAGCCGUAAACUAUGCGCGUUAGGUGUAUCGGUGACCACGAGUUACCGAGGUGCCGAAGGGAAACCGUGAAACGUGCCGCCUGGGAAGUACGGUCGCAAGGCUGAAACUUAAAGGAAUUGGCGGG